GGAUUGGGAGGGUUCUACGGAACCCGUUUGGUGAAUCUAGUGCCGAGAAAAGCCUUCUAUGUGUUGAAUUUCUAGUACCCGUACCCCAAACCGACACAGGUGGGUGGGUAGAGCAUACCUAGGGGCGCGUGAUAACUCUCUCUAAGGAACUCGGCAAAAUGGCCCUGUAACUUCGGGAUAAGGGGUGCCUGCGUGAGCAGGCCGCAGUGAAAUGGCUCUGGCGACUGUUUACCAAAAACACAGGUCUCUGCUAAGUCGUAAGACGAUGUAUAGGGGCUGACUCCUGCCCAGUGCCGGAAGGUUAAGGAAGUUGGUUAGCGCAAGCGAAGCUGGCGACCGAAGCCCCGGUGAACGGCGGCCGUAACAAUAACGGUCCUAAGGUAGCGAAAUUCCUUGUCGGGUAAGUUCCGACCCGCACGAAAGGAGUAACGAUCAGAGCGCUGUCUCGGAGAGAGACACGGCGAAAUAGGAUUGUCCGUGAAGAUACGGACUACCUGCACCCGGACAGAAAGACCCUAUGAAGCUUUACUGUAACUUGGAAUUGUGUUCGGACUUUGUCUGCGCAGAAUAGGUGGGAGGCUAUGAAACGUUCCUCGCGGGGAACUGGAGCCAUCGUUGAGAUACCACUCUGGCAGAGUCUGGAUUCUAACCUACGGGGACAGUUCCAGGUGGGCAGUUUGACUGGGGCGGUCGCCUCCUAAAAUGUAACGGAGGCGCGCAAAGGUUCCCUCAGGCUGGUUGGAAAUCAGCCAUAGAGUGUAAAAGCAUAAGGGAGCUUGACUGUGAGACCUACAAGUCGAGCAGGGACGAAAGUCGGCUUUAGUGAUCCGACGGCACUGAGUGGAAGGGCCGUCGCUCAACGGAUAAAAGUUACUCUAGGAUAACAGGCUGAUCUCCCCCAAGAGUUCACAUCGACGGGGAGGUUUGGCACCUCGAUGUCGGCUCGUCGCAACCUGGGGCGGUAGUACGUCCCAAGGGUUGGGCUGUUCGCCCAUUAAAGCGGCACGUGAGCUGGGUUCAGAACGUCGUGAGACAGUUCGGUCCAUAUCCGGUGUAGGCGUAGGAGCAUUGAAAGGAUCUCUCCUUAGUACGAGGGGACCGGGAGGGACGUACCUCUGGUGUACCUGUUAUCGUGCCAACGGUAAACGCAGGGUAGCCAUGUACGGAGUGGAUAACCGCUGAAAGCAUCUAAGUGGGAAGCCCACCUUAAGAUGAGUGCUCCCUUGAGGCCACGGGAAGACGACCCGUUUGAUAGGCGCUAGGUGGAAGUGCAGUAAUGCAUGUAGCCGAGGCGUACUAAUAGGCCGAUGGCUUGU
rnacentral:rRNA from 1 species